AUUGAACGCUGGCGGCAUGGCUAAAACAUGCAAGUCGGACGCGAAAGGGGGCAACCCCGAGUAGAGUGGCGAAAGGGCGAGUAAUGCGUUUCUAACGUACCCCGGGCUCACGGAUAGCUCGCCGAAAGGCGGAUUAAUACGUGAUGACACCGCGAGAUCGUAUGGUCUUGCGUUCAAAGGCUUGCCGGGCCCGGGAGGCGGGGAACGUCCUAUCAGGUAGUUGGUGAGGUAAUGGCUCACCAAGCCUAAGACGGGUAGCGGGUGUGAGAGCACGGCCCGCCGCAUCGGGACUGAGACACUCGCCCGGACUCCUACGGGAGGCUGCAGUAACGAAUAUUCCGCAAUGCGCGAAAGCGUGAC
rnacentral:rRNA from 1 species